AGAGUUUGAUCAUGGCUCAGAAUCAACGCUGGCGGCGUGCCUAACACAUGCAAGUCGAACGCGAAAAUCCCGAAAGGGAUGAGUAGAGUGGCAAACGGGUGAGUAACGCGUGAGUGACCUGCCUUCGAGCGGGGGAUAACGUCCCGAAAGGGACGCUAAUACCGCAUAACAUCCUGCCUUUCAAAAGGUGGAGAUCAAAGCUGGGGAUCGCAAGACCUAGCACUUGAAGAGGGGCCCGCGUCUGAUUAGCUAGUUGGUGAGGUAACGGCUCACCAAGGCGACGAUCAGUAUCCGGCCUGAGAGGGCGGACGGACACACUGGGACUGAGACACGGCCCAGACUCCUACGGGAGGCAGCAGUGGGGAAUUGUUCGCAAUGGGCGCAAGCCUGACGACGCAACGCCGCGUGGAGGAUGAAGACCUUCGGGUCGUAAACUCCUUUCGAUCGAGACGAAUGGCCUCCGGGUGAACAAUCCGGAGGAGUGACGGUACCGAGAGAAGAAGCCCCGGCUAACUCCGUGCCAGCAGCGGCGGUAAUUC
rnacentral:rRNA from 1 species